AAUAAAUGUUAUUAUAUCAUACCAAACCAAGUCCAGCAUUCAAAGUCUGACUUAGGGAAAAAUACUGAAGCAGGGACAGGGGCGAUGUCUUUAACAGUUAUGAUCAUGAAUGGAUCACUGGUUGUGUUUGCACAAGUAGCUAGUGACUGUUGUAUAAACUGUUGUGUGUUAUGGAACGACGGUAAGAUCAGACUACAUUAGAGCUUUGUUUGAGAAACCCAGGUAAUUUAACAACAUUUAAAGGAGUAUUUCUGCACUGGAAAUGUGGCCUUUGCAUCAACCUGGGCUGUCUUUGCAGUAGGAAGACCUUUGCUACAUGACCAGAGAAAACAGGCAAAAAGGUUGUGGUAUUCUCUUUAACUCAAAACGUAGAAAACCUGCAACAACCAGAAUGCACCACUCUGCACUGGACCAAUAAACAGUCCCACUGGGGAUGAACGAUGUAUAUUAGCCCAAUAAUGGGAAACGUGUUUUAUCUCACAGUAUCAGUGGAUAAUUGAACCGAUAAUUGGAAUUGAUCAUAUGAAAAUUGUUGAUAAGAAGAAGAACAAGCGGAACACCAAAGGAAAAAGUCUACCAGUUUAAACAAUCAACAAUCUUUGCUCACAACAUCUGAACCCUUCUCACCUUCGGGUGUUGAUAAACUAGUGUUUUUCAAACUUUUUUGAGCCAUGGCACAUUUUUUCCAUUAAAAAUAUCCCGCAGCACACCACCAACCAAAAAUGUUACAAAAUGACACACUGUAGCCUGAUACAGCAUAUAUAUAUUGACAAUUCAGUCUCUCAAUUUGUUUUUAUUUACUCAGUGUGGAAAAAUGGGCCUCUUUAUAUGAACACAAAGCUGAUAUCCUGGCAUGACCUGAAGAAAGGCACAUACGAAACUCUUCCUCAACAGCUCUCAGUCUCUCUCUGUUUUUUGUUUUUAUAGCAGUCAUGCUUUCACAUAGAAAUGAAAAUGGAAAUAAGGACCAGUGUCGAAAUAGCUCUGUUAUUAUUAACAUAUUAACAUAUAUAUUGCAAAAGACAAAACCAAUGGCAAAAAUAGACAAUAAACUGAAAAAGGUAAGAGAUAGAAUAGAAAUACAAAUAAAAUAUGAUAGGGUACAAAAUUAACAGCAGUGAUUUUUUUAUCCACAAAUACAAAUAACAAAUAUGUUUGUUUAUUAAAUGGGGAACUCCUUGGCAGCAGUUAACCGAAAACUGUCCAAAGGUAGAUCGGCAAAUCUUAGCUUUAAACCACGGCCCUCUCUCAGUUCCAGUUACUUCCUCCUGCUCCUGCAAAACCAAGUACCAAAAACUGCUGCUGAGCUGUAUGGGUCCCUAACCCAGUCAAGGCAAUCAGUGAAGGCUGAGGGCAAAUAAAAUGAAAAUUUCCCCAAGAGUUUUCAGAUGUAUACCUAAUAUCUCACCCAGUGCAGCAGUGUUGAUGACAUCUCCUUGGCAUUCCAGAUGAUACUGCCAAAGGUGCGCUUAGAAUGGAAUCCAUUUAUUCUGUCUGUGCUUGUGAGCAGGUUUUUAUUUCGGCUUUGCAUAUGUGUGCUCAGCUCAUUCAGAUGCUUAAAUAUAUCUGCCAAAUAUGACAGCCUUGCACACCACUCAUCACUUGCAAGCAGCUCCGUAUUAUCGCACCUCUCAUUAGUCAAAAUCACUCAUACACACGGGCCAGCACUUGCUGAGCAAUGCAACUCUCAGACCUCCGAAUGGAGCAAAAAGGCGCUAUGCUCCGCACCCAUUUCAUCACAUAAAGGUGCAAAUAUGUGGCUUUUCAGAGGUCUUGUCUUAAUAUCUUUACCAUGUGCAAAACAUCAUCCAACACAGGAGCUAGGUCUGCUGGUAAAGUCUUGUAAUCGAGCGCCUCACAGUGCAAAAAACAGUACAUAACAAUAACAUGUGAGUGUCUCUCUGUUACUUUUCUAAUGAAGCUUUUGGUGCGCUCGACCAUGGCUGCUGCUCUAUCAGUACAGACACUUGUGCAGUAUUCCCACUGAAGUCCUCCUUGUUCAAGAUAUUCUGGUUUCCUCUGGUUUCCACAUUGGCCAGGAGCUGAGCAUGUCCUCUACCGUCUGUAGACUGAUCAAGUUGCCAUGACAAUUCCAAAACAAUGACUUUGAUGUCAUGCUGACAUGUCAACAACACAUCUAGCAGUCUUGUUAUCUGAGAGACUGACUUUAGCUACUUCAUUAACAGGAUCAGGGCUGAGCAUCUUGUUCACAAUGGCUUUGUAGGCAGGUAGUAUAAAUGCCUCUGCCACAGUCAGUGGGUUUACACGCACAGCUUAGUCAGAUUACAGCCAUAGUUCGACUAUGCUACUCAAUUUGACUACUGCAAUUUUCCGAGUAUACAUGCCGGUGAGAAAACUGAAUUACUGGUCGAAGCAUGUACGCUACCGUUAUGCUAGGUGGCGCUGUACCCAUUUCAACUAGCUGUAAUAGAGCGACCUCUGGCUGACCUCUUUACGUCACCAGCUGACUCGGCAUUCGAGAAAGAUGCCGUAUGAAGGAGAGGCUACAUCUUUGUACAUUUUGUAUAUGGUGUACAUGAUAAUUACACAAACUAGAUGCACAAUGGUGCUCUUGCUUUCGGUUAUUUCAGAAGAAAGACACCGCCGCCAUCCUUCUACUUUUGGCUCACGGCCCUGGGAAAAAAAUCUUGAGCCUGCGCAGAGCGCAAAAAUCCAAUCCAGUUGGAUGGAGCGUAUACAUGCAGGAGUAAUGCGACUAUCAAUCGAAUAAUCCGAUUUUAGUCAGACAAAGGUGUAUACAUGCAUCUUAAAAAUCCGAUCAUAGUCGGACUAACCCAGUAAUUCGGUUUUCUUGAGUGUCAUGUAAAUGCACUGAGUGUGUGGCUUUUUUGAUUUGACUAAGCAUUCAGCCAUUAAGUACACUGUAAAACAUUUCACCCCUGUUUAGUUAUGUCCACUCACUUUUACUCUUUAACUCAAUGAGCUCUAAUAACUUUUGGAUUUUCAACUCAUUUAAAACUCAAGUUUUCAGAAAUUAAAUUUACAGUUAUUUGUUGUAUUGACUUUUGCCUGUUCCUGUUCCUGUUCUGUUUUGCCUGUGUAUGUUGAUUGAACUUGGGUUUUCAAGUUAUAGGUUGAAAAAAAAAACAUUUUAUAAUGGCGGGUGGCGGGAUGAGAGAGAGGAAAAAGGAGGGAAAAAUGUUGUCACAACUUUUGGGUUUGAGAGAAACACUCUUAUUUAUUUUGAACCAUGGACAAAUUAUAAACCACAGAUAAGUGAUAGAUUCGAAUUCCAACUAAAAAAUAGACACGUGCUAGUAAAGAAGAAAGGACUAAGUUAGCGCUCCAGGCAGAGGGAGUGUACCGCACAACGGCCGAGGAAGCUGGGAGCGGAUGAGGCGGAGGGAUCUGGCAUUAGUGAUGUGAUUGCGAGGAGAAACGUUAGUAGAAGAACACUGAAUUUCUUUUCUUUGUCGGAGAAACAGCACAAACUGGUAAGUUUAAAUUUCAUUUGGUCUUUACUGUACUAAUGUCAACUAUGUUUGUCACUUUGGUUUUAGUUUGGUCUUAAGUCUUGAGCUUUGGUCUUGAUGUUAGGCUGCCACUUCCCUACAAACUAUGAACCUGACAUUGUUCGAAUACUUGUGGCAGAUAAACUUCACCAGUACUGCCUUUGUUAAAAAGCUGAAUUAAUAAAUGUAUAACAAAUUGGUCAGUUUAAAAUGUGACUCGAAUAUUCAUUUUUUUAUUUCAUGCACGGUUAAACUAGUUUGUGUCGUGUCCCUCCUCUCCCCCUCCCCACCGAAGUUAGCUAAGUUAACGUUAGUGCUACUCUGCUUGCUCUUCAUGUGUUAACGUUAUAUUUAACCUUAACGGUAAAUUGAAUGGCAGACGUUAACGCUAUUUUGCUAGCUUGCGAUAGUGCGGAGCUUGUUUUAGGCGGGGGGGACUAAACAUUUAGAGCAGAGAGUUGGGCUCGUCUUCUUGUGUGUGUGCGUGAGGAAGAGGCUGACCUCCUCACACCGAGCAGCUCUUCUCUUCAGCGUUCAGCGGUCAACUGACCAUUGCUAAGCAUAUUUGACUGUUGUCAAGGAAAGUGGCCUUUUUCCCUCUGAUUCACGUAUUUCGUAUCACUCCAGGCACUAAAAUCUUUGCUCUAUAUGUUUUCCGGCCACUUAUCAGCCCAGUGUUUUCAGUCGCUAAGGAAUGUCAGCUGAUCUGAAGUCUACUUCAUAAUGGGAAAACACUACUCCUAUGCGACUAGUAUGGAUGAGUUUUACAUUAACUUUACUAUAUUUGGUAAAUACGGUGAUUUUGAGUCUUGGCAAAAGGCUGAGUUGUCGAUAAAGGUCAAGAAAAGAAUCACAGUCUACUCGCAGUCCAACUGCAUUAUACAGACAGAGCUUUCAAAAUGAAGAAUUUAAGAAAAUGAACGUCAGUAUUAGGUAAAGUUAUUUGAACUUAGUUAGCUAAAACAUUUGGAAUAUUGUUACUUAGAGGCUGAAACAAUCAGCUCUUCCUUUCUUGUUUCAGUAGUGUUAGCAACAAUGUAUUUAAUGUUUAGGAAAUUGAAAGGAUAAUAUCUGGCAGCAGAUAUUAUUACAAUUAAACUGUAACUUAAUCUAAAACUUUCCUGAUUUUUGCGACUAGUUUUUGGUUCAGUUUAUUUAUAUUAUAUUGAUGUGAUAUUUGCUUAUUCCAGUUCAUAGUGUAAUACAAUUAUAUUUCAUAGUCUACGGUUUCUACAAUUAAUAGCAAAAACAUGAGUUGUCACAUUGUUCAAGUGACAACACAUUGUCACAUUGUAGUUAAGCACAAUUUGAAAUUCAUUUUUGUUUUUUCUGUUUACAGACAUCAGAAAGCAUGUCCACUUCAUGAACUGGAAAUGACACAAACCAAAACAGAAGAUCAGCUGCCCUGACAUCCUUUGGAGGGGUCCUCCAACAUAAUCAGGAUGUGUGAUGCUCACGGAGAAACCCUUGACGUGAUGAUGAAGGGAAUGCAAGUUGGACUGUUGAUAGAACACGAAGGCACCCUGCAUGAUGCAUUUCCUUUGGAAAUCUUUGACGUGGCUGUGGUAGUAGAGCAGAUGGUCAUCCUGCAUGAUGUAAGAGAUGUCGUCACACUGUUCUGGCUUGGGCAUGUUAAGAUGCAUCAAUGUGCAACAUAGUUCUUGUUAUAUCAAGAUUUUUAUGAACUGGUUAUCAUUGUCUGACAUUUGCCUCAUUUUACAGUCCCACACCACCUUUGUCUGUAUACAACCUUGCCUUGUGUCUCUGUCCCUCUACAACCCCACCUCUCUGCGUCUGUCCCUCUCCAACUUCUGUCUGCCUGUCUCUCUGUCUCUCUGUCCCUGUACAAUCCGUCUGUCUGUGUGUCUGUCCCUCUAUCUGUCUCUGUGUCUGUCCCUUUGUCUAUCUGUGUCUUUCCCAUUAAAAUGUACCAAAACCAAUGUUUAAGCUUGUUCAUACUGUUAAAUAAAUGUUUGAGAUAACAUGGAAACUUGCAAUUAUUAGUCAAGAUAACUUAUGUGUGUUUGCACAACUAGGAAAUGAGUUACGAGGUAAAGU